GGGGUUGUGGCUCAGUGGUAGAGCACUUUCCUGGCAUGUGUGAGGCACUGGGUUCAAUCCUCAACACCA
rnacentral:tRNA from 1 species